rnacentral:lncRNA from 1 species
UGUUGAAGCUGCUCUGCCCUUUCUUUUUUUUUUUUUUUUAAAGGCUCCCCACGGCCCAUGUAAAAGUGUCCUUACCUGCUGUCUUGCCAGAAGCUGGCAAGAUGAGGAGUCUUGCUGCCCACCAGCUUGCCCAGGCCAGGCACUGAGGCCUGAGGUUGUCCCCUGGUCCCCAUCCCUGCAUCAGGUGGUGGAGAGGUGAUGGCUUUCAUCCCAAAACUCCCAGUGGCUACUGCCCGCUAAUGCCCACAGCCUGCGGUGGGAGCAGCCUGCCUGCCAGAUUUUCCCCACUUCCCUGAGAUAUAAUGUACGGUUUUCUUACCUCGAGGUGUAAUUUCGUGUUGCCUUUUCUUCCCCUUCAGGGAAGGGCUCACUAGAUGGCACUGUGUCACUGUGGGACAAGUCACCUCCAUCUGCUUCUAGGCAGUCUGUAUCAUUGAGCAGGGAGAAUGGAGUCAUCUUCGUUCUCUGCUGAUCUGUGACACGAGUAGAGCACACUUAUGGACUCUUGGUGACAUAUACAUCUGCUACAAAAAGGAGACAUUAAUCAUCACUUCGUUGAGGUACAGGGAAAGUGUGGGCCUGCAAAGGCGUGUGCAGAAGCAGCCAUCUCCAGAGAGGCAGCUGUGAAGAAGGAAGUCUUAAGCACCAGCUUAGAGGUGAGUCUAAUGUAUUUCAUAGGAUUUUUAUCUGUGGACACUUUCCUCUGAAAGGGUUUAAUUUCACAAAUGCAAAGGUGGGGAUUUGGGAGUAGCUGAACUGAAAACAUCCAAGGUGUUGGAUAGAGGGAUUCAUUGCUUUUCUUCACUUAAUUGGGAACAAAGACUGGAAGGCCUUUCUCAUUCCAGGGAGGUACCAUAGCCAUGGAUGAUUCUUCCCACCCCCUUUACUAGGACAUUUGCCUCUUAGAUUUUUGUUUGCUUAGGGCUUAGCUGUGGUGUAA